GACGAACGCUGGCGGCGUGCUUAACACAUGCAAGUCGAACGGAAAGGCCCUGCUUUUGUGGGGUGCUCGAGUGGCGAACGGGUGAGUAACACGUGAGUAACCUGCCCUUGACUUUGGGAUAACUUCAGGAAACUGGGGCUAAUACCGGAUAGGAGCUCCUGCUGCAUGGUGGGGGGUGGAAAGUUUCGGCCGUUGGGGAUGGACUCGCGGCUUAUCAGCUUGUUGGUGGGGUAGUGGCUUACCAAGGCUUUGACGGGUAGCCGGCCUGGGAGGGUGAGCGGCCACCUUGGGACUGCGAUACGGCCCAGACUCCUACGGGGGGCAGCAGUGGGGAAUAUUGCACAAUGGGCGGAAGCCUGAUGCAGCAACGCCGCGUGCGGGAUGACGGCCUUCGGGUUGUAAACCGCUUUCGCCUGUGACGAAGCGUGAGUGACGGUAAUGGGUAAAGAAGCACCGGCUAACUACGUG
rnacentral:rRNA from 1 species